rnacentral:rRNA from 1 species
AGCAGCCGCGGUAAUUCCAGCUCCAAUAGCGUAUAUUAAAGUUGUUGCAGUUAAAAAGCUCGUAGUUGAAUUUCGGGAUUAAUAUGCUGGUCGUGCCAUUGGUAUGUACUAGUAUUAUUGAUUUCUCCCUUCUGAUGAAUCAUGAUGUCAUUAAUUUGAUGUCAUGGGGAAUCAGGACUGUUACUUUGAAAAAUUAGAGUGUUUAAAGCAGGCUCGCGCUUGAAUACAUUAGCAUGGAAUAAUGAAAUAGGACGUUUGAUUCUAUUUUGUUGGUUUCUAGGAUUGACGUAAUGAUUAAUAGGGAUAGUUGGGGGCAUUAGUAUUCAAUUGUCAGAGGUGAAAUUCUUGGAUUUAUUGAAGACUAACUACUGCGAAAGCAUUUGCCAAGGAUGUUUUCAUUAAUCAAGAACGAAAGUUAGGGGAUCGAAGACGAUCAGAUACCGUCGUAGUCUUAACCAUAAACUAUGCCGACUAGGGAUCGGAUGAUGUUAAUUA